rnacentral:rRNA from 1 species
UACAGAGGGGGCAAGCGUUGUUCGGAAUUACUGGGCGUAAAGGGCGCGUAGGCGGCCUGCUAAGUCGAACGUGAAAUCCCCGGGCUCAACCCGGGAACUGCGUCCGAUACUGGCAGGCUUGAAUCCGGGAGAGGGAUGUGGAAUUCCAGGUGUAGCGGUGAAAUGCGUAGAUAUCAGGAGGAACACCGGUGGCGAAGGCGGGUUGCUGGGCUGACACUGACGCUGAUGCGCGAAAGCUAGGGGAGCGAACGGG